CCAAUUAUCCAACGAGCCCACAAUCCAUUCACCUUUCAAAUUAUUUAUCCAACCCAAUUUACAUAUCUAAUAUCCACUAUCCAACCCAAUUAACCAAAAAUUCCCAAAAUUCAAUCAAAAGUUCCCAAAAUUCCCAAACUAAAAAAUUCCCCAAAAACUGCCCGACGCCUCUGCAGCUCUGCUCAUCAGUCCCCAGUUCGGUAGUCGUCGCCACUCGCCUGUCGUCUUCUUCAGCCUUCAAGUCAGUGUCCACUCGCUAGUACUCCUUGCUUCUGCCGUGCCUGUUCGGCCAUUCCUCGCUAGUCGACUCCGCCCUUUUGCCGACUGCAGCUCUUCUUCAACUCUUCUGCUCUUGAUUGCUGGAGGAUGGUUCGAUUUGGAGAGUGAAGUCGUUUGGUGCUUCUGGAACCCAAGUUGGUGAAGUGGUUUUCAACACAUCAUUAACCGAGUAAAAAUUAAGAAUUUACUAUGAAUUUAUUCCACUGUGUUUGUGAAUGAAUAUUGGCUGAUAAAGAUUUUUUAUCCUCCACUUGCAAGUGGGACACCGUUAGCAGGGCGGGGGCAGUACAUUAUUUGGGGGUGAAACUUCCUAUUGUGUUUUGCCGUUUUGGUGGUCAGGUGCUUCAGCAGGUAGUCAAAGGCUUCAAUAAGAAUUUAAAACUGUGUAUUAUUUUCUAUUAUGGUAGUGUACUGUUUGUCUAGGUAGGUAAAAUGGGGCGAGGUUUGUUAGAAAUGUGUGGAAUCCAUUUAUGUUCCAACAGAUUCAUUUAUCAUUUCUGGUCCACAAAUUGAAAUUGGAAAGAAGGUGGGAUCAGGCUCAUGGUCUCAAGGUGAUUGAUAGAAGUCUCGAGAGACUUCUUGCAUUUGAUUCUUCCGUUUUUUGUGUAAUGGUCAGGUUAUCUUGGGUGUGUAAUUGAUAUCUGAAUGGAUCACUUUGUGCAGAAUGGCUCAAUAAGACUAUUAUGGGUGUAGGUGUCUAAACUAUAAUGAACCACGAAAAUUUUUAGUAUUUUUUAUUUUGAUUCCUCGAUCUACUUUUAUACUUCAUUACUUCAUUUCUUGAGAUUUCUGGAUUAUGGUUUCUGGCCUUAGUGGGUUAACAUGUUUACCACAUUGGAAAUCUUAUUUAAGAAGUCAACUUUGUGUUUAUGGAAGCCGUUACUUAUAUUUGUGUUCCUUUUGGCAUCUAUCUACUAUUGCAAUGGAGUUGAAAUUUACUGAAAUCUCCAGAAGUCUUUUGGCUAGGAAUAGUGAAGAAAGUUCACCAAUUGAAAACUAUUUAUUUUAAUUAUAUGUAUGUCAGAAGGUGGUUUUGUUGAAAGGCUUGAAAGUGGAGUAAAUUUCGUCUUCAUGAAUAAAAUUAAUUCAAUUACUCUCCCACUGUAAACUAUUUCUACCUAGAGAUAAAACCCAUGAGCGAAAUCACUAAAGCGUAAAGGCAAACAUAAAGUAAGUGUAUAAAAUUUAAAAUAUCUUUAAAAGAUAUGUUUGGGGGGCACAAAUUAAAAUUGGCUUUGUUCGGUAAACUAAAAAUAAGAAAAAUAAGGAAAACUCAAAACCAGCUGUUAUUUAUUUCCCCCAUUUUCCUUUUACUCUUUGACAUAUAUUGCAUGAACAUUAUUUAUUAUCUUUAAAUGUAAUAUGCUGCAUGGUAGAGUUUAUAUAUGUAAAUAGAGAGUUAGUCCCCAACUUUUGAAAUAGAACAUUUUGGCCCUCAAUAUUCCAUUAAUAUUGCAAAAUUAUUUUUAGUUGAUAGAAACGGUGCUUAACCCGAAGUGGCUCUACCACCAUAUUUCAUUAAACAAAUUAACUUUUUAGCAAGUUUGUAAGGAUUGUAAUUUUGAAUGUGAUGGUUAUAAGAGUCUUAUGUAUUUAAAC
rnacentral:lncRNA from 1 species